CGGCCUGAUGGCGGGGGACGCCGCGGCGGGGGUUCCGGCGCCGGAGGCGGAGAUUCCGGCUGCGGAAGCCGGCGUUCCGGCAGCCGACGCGCCGG
rnacentral:tRNA from 1 species